AAGUCGUAACAAGGUCUCCGUAGGUGAACCUGCGGAGGGAUCAUUACACAACAAAAUAUGAAGGUCUGGCUUCGCGGCCGGCUGAAAUAUUUUUUUCACCCAUGUCUUUUGCGCACUUGUUGUUUCCUGGGCGGGUUCGCCCGCCACCAGGACCAAACCAUAAACCUUUUUUUUUAUGCAGUUGCAAUCAGCGUCAGUAAAAACAAUGUAAUUAAUUACAACUUUCAACAACGGAUCUCUUGGUUCUG
rnacentral:misc_RNA from 2 species